UCCCGCGUGACGGCUGUGGGGUUGAAAAUCUCAAAAAUCAGCAUAGAGUCCAGAGUGUUCGGCUACCAGGACGUGCAAGACUUCGAUCUCGAUUCUUUCGUUCUCUUUGUCGGGAACAUGAAACUCAGGGCCAAGAUGUUCGGAACGGCGAUAUGGCCGUCCACUCUGCUCUUCUUUUUCGGCGGCACGGCGCUGGUCGUGUACCUGCUGGUCAUCUGCGACGUACUCACCAACCCCGUCAUGGGUUCCUUCCUCUGAGCUCGCAAGGUUGCCAAGCUCUUUUAUUUACCACAACGGACGGACGUGCGAAUAAACUCACCGGCGCCAUCGAGGUCGCGGCUCUGC